AAAAAAAACUACCAUCCCUUUCCAUUUUACAUUUUCCUCUACUAUGUUAUGUCAUGACUGCAUUAGUGGUUUAAUCUGUUACCUAAGUAUAAAAAUAGCAACCUGCCAAAUAGUCGAAUGGUUCAGGAAAGAAGACUUUAUGUUGAGUCCACGAGUGAUGCAUUUAUAUUUGCAAUGUUGUUUGUUUUAUCUGUCUCUAGGUUUCAAUUUUUUUUGGGUGGGGGUUCAAAUUAAUUGUGGUUUCACACAUUUUUCUAAUGCCAUGUUUGAACAGAUCUCAUGUAUAUUGGAUUUGUGUUCCAGCUCCAAAUACUUGUCAAGAACAGAAAUCACUGCAAUAAGUUGUGAGUAGUAAAAAAAGGGACAAUGCUUAAGUUGCAUGAAAACUAGAUGAGUAUAGGUGAAGCAAUGCAUGUGUUAGAUGCUACUAGUUGCUAUGCUAACCUCUUGAAAUAGAUUUCAAUGGGGUCACCUUUUUGGGAGUUUCUUUUUCUUUGUUUACCUAAAUACCUAGUAGAUAUAAUUCUUUAUGGUUGACUGUAGCCUCAUUGUUUUUGACUAGUAGAUUAAGAUGUAUGAUCCAGCAUGUUUCUGCAUCUAAACAUUUGUAUCAUUUCAAGUGAUUGAACAAUCGUAGCUUUAUUGCUUAUUUCAGUAUGUGGUGCUUCUCUGAUGAUAGCAUCGAAAUAUUGAUGAGGCAAUCACUUCCUGAAGUUGAUAUGUUAUAUCAUCAACACUUCUUCCAAAGUCAAACUAGCCACGGCUUUCUAACCUCUUGUAAUAUGUUUUCUGCCUUCUCAGGCAAGUUCACGCUGGGAGAAAAGACAAGCCAAAGUCCUGGAGAAGGUAAGAAGGCGGAUGAGCCAAGAUGAUUCCAGAAAGGGUGGCUCAUGGAGUGACAUCUGGGGAGCACCAACAAGAUACGAGAAGAACGGUA
rnacentral:misc_RNA from 1 species